UCUGGUGGAAAUUGCGGAGGGGACACACCCGUUCCCAUUCCGAACACGGCCGUUAAGCCCUCCAGCGCCGAUGGUACUUGGGACGUUGGUCCCCGGGAGAGUAGGUCUCCGCCAGAC
rnacentral:rRNA from 1 species